rnacentral:rRNA from 1 species
UGGGGAAUAUUGGACAAUGGGCGCAAGCCUGAUCCAGCCAUGCCGCGUGAGUGAUGAAGGCCCUAGGGUUGUAAAGCUCUUUCGCCAGGGACGAUAAUGACGGUACCUGGAUAAGAAGCCCCGGCUAACUUCGUGCCAGCAGCCGCGGUAAUACGAAGGGGGCUAGCGUUGUUCGGAAUCACUGGGCGUAAAGCGCACGUAGGCGGAUCUUUAAGUCAGGGGUGAAAUCCCGAGGUUCAACCUCGGAACUGCCUUUGAUACUGGAGGUCUCGAGUCCGGGAGAGGUGAGUGGAACUGCGAGUGUAGCGGUGAAAUGCGCAGAUAUCAGGAAGAACACCCGUGGCGAAGGCGGAUCCCUGGGACGGUACUGACGCUGAGACGCGAAAGCGUGGGGAGCAAACAGGAUUAGAUACCCUGGUAGUCCACGCCGUAAACGAUGGGCACUAGGUGUGGGAGGUGUCGACUCCUCCCGUGCCGCAGCUAACGCAUUAAGUGCCCCGCCUGGGGAGUACGGUCGCAAGACUA